rnacentral:lncRNA from 1 species
GUGGAGAAGAGAUGUACGAGCUGGAGAUGUCGCAUCUUGACGCCACCGGCACGCAUCAACACCACCAAGCACCAUGACCGGAGCCGUUUCAGUCUGACCAACCGUGAUCCCAACCGUGAGUCACCGGAGAGAUCCGCCAUUACGAUUCCAAGCCGAGAAGGUUAAUUGUGACAUAAGUUGUUUCUUGUGAUACAAGAAAUAUAUUUAACGUACACUUUUAACAUGGCAUGAGUGGGAAAGAAUCAAAGACCUUAUGGGUGAUUUGUUUGCCAAGUCAUUCUCU